rnacentral:rRNA from 1 species
CGAGUUUGAUCCUGGCUCAGAAUCAACGCUGGCGGCGUGCCUCAGACAUGCAAGUCGAACGAUUAAAGCUCUCUUCGGAGAGUGUAUAGAGUGGCGCACGGGUGAGUAACACGUAAGUAAUCUACCCUCGAGUAGGGAAUAACAACCGGAAACGGUUGCUAAUACCGCAUAAUGCAGCGGCACCGCAAGGUGACAGUUGUUAAAGAUUUAUCGCUUGAGGAGGAGCUUGCGGCAGAUUAGCUAGUUGGUAGGGUAACGGCUUACCAAGGCUACGAUCUGUAACCGGUCUAAGAGGACGGUCGGUCACACUGACACUGAAUAACGGGUCAGACUCCUACGGGAGGCAGCAGUCGGGAAUUUUGGGCAAUGGGCGAAAGCCUGACCCAGCAACGCCGCGUGAAGGAUGAAGUAUUUCGGUAUGUAAACUUCGAAAGAAUAGGAAGAAUUAAUGACGGUACUAUUUAUAAGGUCCGGCUAACUACGUG